rnacentral:lncRNA from 1 species
GGGUCCAGAGGGGAUCAGCUCAGUGUGGCUGAUGCUGCUGUUUCCUCCGUUCCAGGGUGACAGAGGCCCUGCAGGAGCAGAGGGGGUCCCAGGUCCCCGGGGAGACGCAGGAGAUAAAGGAGAUCGCGGCCUCCCUGGAUUCAGUGUCACUGGCCCACCUGGCCCCAAAGGAGAGCAGGGCGACAGGGGGAUUGUCGGCCUCACUGGCAAGAGUGGCCCAAAGGGUGACCCCGGGGAACCUGGGGAGAAGGGGGAGCUGGGGAGACCAGGAGCUCCAGGGCAGAUGGGCCUGCGAGGGAAAGAGGUAAUGUAGAGGUGCUCUGGAUAAGGAGGGCAUGACCUGGUGCAUACCAGGGUGUCCAU